AUGUGGUGUGCCUGGGAAUAAUGUCACCAAUAGCAUAAGAAUUAAUGUCUACUAUGAUGCUGAAAUAAAUAAACUGGUAAAACUACUCUGCUGUCUAAAUCCCCAAGUUACAAAUUUACAGAGCUGCCGGCUUCCCCUUGAAGGAAUAGGAGUAGACCUGCUGAACUAUCACAUGAGAGAAGAGGCCCAAAAGCUUGCACACUACAGUCAAGCUGGCCCUUAAAGAGAUGGACCUAGAAGAUGCUGAGCCAGAUGUACUCAAUUACUUCUCCAAAAUUCAUCAAUUAGAACUGCUUCUUGCUGCCGCCAUAUGAAGAAGGACGUGUUCGCUUCCCCUUCCUCCAUGAUUGUAAGUUUCCUGAGACCUCGCCAGCCAUGCUGAACUGAAUACAACAUGUUUAAGACCACAGAACAUCUGCAUAGGCUGUAAAUUUCGUUGAAUGAUGGAUGCAAAGAUGGAAGACAGAUGGAUAGAGGAAAAGACAGAAUCAGAUACUGGAUGAGUUAGUACUGCUGCCUGUGCUUCAGAGCUGUCUUAUUACCACAAGGCCGGCAAGCAUCAAUGUCCCCACAUCCCCCUCUGCCUCCCCCUGAAAUGUACCGAUUUAUAUGAAAAUUAAGAUUACAAAUUAAAGCCUGGCUAUCCUGGAGUUUUCCAGUUCAUCAGCCAUCCAAUAAAAAUGAUGUCAAGCCUGUAUGCAUAAUUCCCGGAAGAUUACUUUCGUCCUUACAGCUAAGCCCUGUCCCUGAUAUGAAAGAUCUCUAUCCACUUUUAUUGAAAUAAAGAACUAACAUCAUAAUCCCAAUAUUGAGGUAUAAUCUUCAUUAUCUCCUGACCCUCUUGAGGUUCCCCCAAUCUAUAUUACUUCAGAUUUGGUUUAUGUGUAAUCCUUAUGUAUUUACUUUUAUUGAGAUAGGAUUAAAAACUAAAAAAAAAGCUUCAA
rnacentral:lncRNA from 10 species